CCUACGGGAGGCAGCAGUGGGGAAUUUUGGACAAUGGGCGCAAGCCUGAUCCAGCAAUGCCGCGUGAGUGAAGAAGGCCUUCGGGUUGUAAAGCUCUUUUGUCAGGGAAGAAACGGUGGGGGCUAAUAUCCCUCGCUAAUGACGGUACCUGAAGAAUAAGCACCGGCUAACUACGUGCCAGCAGCCGCGGUAAUACGUAGGGUGCAAGCGUUAAUCGGAAUUACUGGGCGUAAAGCGUGCGCAGGCGGUUUUGUAAGUCUGUCGUGAAAGCCCCGGGCUCAACCUGGGAAUUGCGAUGGAGACUGCAAGGCUUGAAUCUGGCAGAGGGGGGUAGAAUUCCACGUGUGGCAGUGAAAUGCGUAGAGAUGUGGAGGAACACCGAUGGCGAAGGCAGCCCCCUGGGUCAAGAUUGACGCUCAUGCACGAAAGCGUGGGGAGCAAACAGGAUUAGAUACCCUGGUAGUCCACGCCCUAAACGAUGUCUACUAGUUGUCGGGUUUUAAUUAACUUGGUAACGCAGCUAACGCGUGAAGUAGACCGCCGUGGGGAGGUACGGUCGCGAGAAGUUAAACGUUAAAGUAAGUUAGUACGGCGUGAGACGUCGCCGACGGACGACGACGAGGGAGGUUAGG
rnacentral:rRNA from 1 species